GAUGAACGCUGGCGGCGUGCCUAAUACAUGCAAGUCGAGCGAAUGGAUUAAGAGCUUGCUCUUAUGAAGUUAGCGGCGGACGGGUGAGUAACACGUGGGUAACCUGCCCAUAAGACUAGGAUAACUCCGGGAAACCGGGGCUAAUACCGGAUACCAUUUUGAACCGAAUGGUUCGAAAUUGAAAGGCGGCUUCGGCUGUCACUUAUGGAUGGACCCGUGUCGCAUUAGCUAGUUGGUGAGGUAACGGCUCACCAAGGCAACGAUGCGUAGCCGACCUGAGAGGGUGAUCGGCCACACUGGGACUGGGACACGGCCCAGACUCCUACGGGAGGCAGCAGGAGGGAAUCUUCCGCAAUGGACGAAAGUCUGACGGAGCAACGCCGCGUGAGUGAUGAAGGCUUUCGGGUCGUAAAACUCUGUUGUUAGGGAAGAACAAGUGCUAGUUGAAUAAGCUGGCACCUUGACGGUACCUAACCAGAAAGCCACGGCUAACUACGUGCCAGCCGCCGCAGUAA
rnacentral:rRNA from 1 species